UCGGCGAUCCGGGGCCGGGGGCGGCUCCGAGGUCGUCGGGGCCGGGGUCCCACCUCCUCUUGGAGGAAGCGCCGCCUUCCCACCCGCCCGGGGCCCUCGCCAAGUGGCUGCUAACAAAGCCCAGGGCCCGGCUGCGGGAUGGUUGACUGACAAAGUCAUGCCUGCCUAGCCAGCUUCCUCGUGCAGCACGGUGAAGGCUGGGGCGCCGGGUUUUUACUCCCACGUCCUGCCAACUCGAGCUGACAAGGCGGGCAAUCCACCAGCGGGAGCGUUGGCAGGCCCGGGGUCAGAUCCUGAUUCAGCCAGUUAAUUGGAGCUGAACACUGCCCCGAGAAUGCAACAGAACUUCAGCUCUGUCCCAAGGUCGUCAGCCACAGCUCCAAGUUUCUUAGCAUCAGCUUUUUCUGAACAAAAUAGUGCAUCCUGCUGGAAUCACUACUGUAAACUGAGUAUAAAGGAAAAUAAACCCUCUUUUUC
rnacentral:lncRNA from 1 species